CACGUUUCUGCAGGGCUCUUUUUGACUCUUUAGAAGCCACAGAAAGGUAUUUACAGAGGGAAGAAUCAUCUUCCCAAGUGUCAGGCACAUGGAACACUGAUUAGGGCAGGAGGGAAGAGUAACUGGACUGAAGACGCAGAGAUGGUACUUAGGCAGUCAUGGAAGAAGGGGAAAAAAACAUUUUUCAGAUCACUUCUGAAUUCUUUGAAUAAUGCAUGUUCCAACACAGAUCCAUCUGGGACCACACCAGUGAACUUCUUUUAUCAUGAAAAGAUCUUUCCUUCCUACUUUGUUGUUUGUC